UUGAACGCUGGCGGCAGGCCUAACACAUGCAAGUCGAACGGUAACAGGAAGCAGCUUGCUGCUUUGCUGACGAGUGGCGGACGGGUGAGUAAUGUCUGGGAAACUGCCUGAUGGAGGGGGAUAACUACUGGAAACGGUAGCUAAUACCGCAUAACGUCGCAAGACCAAAGAGGGGGACCUUCGGGCCUCUUGCCAUCGGAUGUGCCCAGAUGGGAUUAGCUAGUAGGUGGGGUAACGGCUCACCUAGGCGACGAUCCCUAGCUGGUCUGAGAGGAUGACCAGCCACACUGGAACUGAGACACGGUCCAGACUCCUACGGGAGGCAGCAGUGGGGAAUAUUGCACAAUGGGCGCAAGCCUGAUGCAGCCAUGCCGCGUGUAUGAAGAAGGCCUUCGGGUUGUAAAGUACUUUCAGCGGGGAGGAAGGGAGUAAAGUUAAUACCUUUGCUCAUUGACGUUACCCGCAGAAGAAGCACCGGCUAACUCCGUGCCAGCAGCCGCGGUAAUACGGAGGGUGCAAGCGUUAAUCGGAAUUACUGGGCGUAAAGCGCACGCAGGCGGUUUGUUAAGUCAGAUGUGAAAUCCCCGGGCUCAACCUGGGAACUGCAUCUGAUACUGGCAAGCUUGAGUCUCGUAGAGGGGGGUAGAAUUCCAGGUGUAGCGGUGAAAUGCGUAGAGAUCUGGAGGAAUACCGGUGGCGAAGGCGGCCCCCUGGACGAAGACUGACGCUCAGGUGCGAAAGCGUGGGGAGCAAACAGGAUUAGUUACCCUGGUAGUCCACGCCGUAAACAAUGUCGACUUGGAGGUUGUGCCCUUGAGGCGUGGCUUCCGGAGCUAACGCGUUAAGUCGACCGCCUGGGGAGUACGGCCGCAAGGUUAAAACUCAAAUGAAUUGACGGGGGCCCGCACAAGCGGUGGAGCAUGUGGUUUAAUUCGAUGCAACGCGAAGAACCUUACCUGGUCUUGACAUCCACGGAAGUUUUCAGAGAUGAGAAUGUGCCUUCGGGAACCGUGAGACAGGUGCUGCAUGGCUGUCGUCAGCUCGUGUUGUGAAAUGUUGGGUUAAGUCCCGCAACGAGCGCAACCCUUAUCCUUUGUUGCCAGCGGUCCGGCCGGGAACUCAAAGGAGACUGCCAGUGAUAAACUGGAGGAAGGUGGGGAUGACGUCAAGUCAUCAUGGCCCUUACGACCAGGGCUACACACGUGCUACAAUGGCGCAUACAAAGAGAAGCGACCUCGCGAGAGCAAGCGGACCUCAUAAAGUGCGUCGUAGUCCGGAUUGGAGUCUGCAACUCGACUCCAUGAAGUCGGAAUCGCUAGUAAUCGUGGAUCAGAAUGCCACGGUGAAUACGUUCCCGGGCCUUGUACACACCGCCCGUCACACCAUGGGAGUGGGUUGCAAAAGAAGUAGGUGGCUUAACCUUCGGGAGGGCGCUUACCACUUUGUGAUUCAUGACUGGGG
rnacentral:rRNA from 1 species